rnacentral:rRNA from 1 species
GAGGAAUAUUGGUCAAUGGGCGAGAGCCUGAACCAGCCAAGUCGCGUGAAGGAAGAAGGUUCUAUGGAUUGUAAACUUCUUUUGCAUGGGAAUAAAGUGAGCUACGUGUAGUUUAUUGUAUGUACCAUGCGAAUAAGGAUCGGCUAACUCCGUGCCAGCAGCCGCGGUAAUACGGAGGAUCCGAGCGUUAUCCGGAUUUAUUGGGUUUAAAGGGUGCGUAGGCGGGAAAUUAAGUCAGUGGUGAAAGUUUGCAGCUCAACUGUAAAAUUGCCAUUGAAACUGAUUUUCUUGAGUGUAAAUAAGGUAGGCGGAAUGUGUUGUGUAGCGGUGAAAUGCAUAGAUAUAACACAGAACCCCGAUUGCGAAGGCAGCUUACCGGGCUACAACUGACGCUGAGGCACGAAAGCGUGGGGAUCAAAC